AACCCCUGUGAACAUACCUUAAUGUUGCCUCGGCGGAUCAGCCCGCGCCCUGUAAAACGGGACGGCCCGCCAGAGGACCCAAACUCUAAUGUUUCUUAUUGUAACUUCUGAGUAAAACAAACAAAUAAAUCAAAACUUUCAACAACGGAUCUCUUGGUUCUGGCAUCGAUGAAGAACGCAGCAAAAUGCGAUAAGUAAUGUGAAUUGCAGAAUUCAGUGAAUCAUCGAAUCUUUGAACGCACAUUGCGCCCGCUGGUAUUCCGGCGGGCAUGCCUGUUCGAGCGUCAUUUCAACCCUCAAGCCCCCGGGUUUGGUGUUGGGGAUCGGCUCUGCCUUACGGCGGUGCCGCCCCCGAAAUACAUUGGCGGUCUCGCUGCAGCCUCCAUUGCGUAGUAGCUAACACCUCGCAACUGGAACGCGGCGCGGCCAUGCCGUAAAACCCCAACUUCUGAAUGUUGACCUCGGAUCAGGUAGGAAUACCCGCUGAACUUAAGCAUAUCAAUAAGCGGAGGA
rnacentral:rRNA from 1 species